AACGAACGCUGGCAGCGUGGAUGAGGCAUGCAAGUCGAACGGUCGGGGAUUGGCAGCAAUGUCGGUUCCCGAUAGUGGCGGAAGGGCGAGCAAUGCAAGAGCAAGCUGCCCUUUGGUUCGGGACAACGGCUGGAAACGGCCGCUAAUACCGGAUGUGAACCGCGGGGGAAUCCCCGCGUGUGGAAAGGCGGCCGCAAGGCUGCCGCCAGGGGAGGCGCUCCUGUGCCAUCAGCUAGUUGGUGUGGUAACGGCGCACCAAGGCUUACGGCUAGGUGGACUGAGAGGUUGGUCACCCGCACUGGGACUGAGACACUGCCCAGACUCCUACGGGAGGCUGCAGUCGAGGAUCAUUCGCAAUGGGGGAAACCCUGACGAUGCGACGCUGCGUGGAGGACGAAGGGCUUCGGUCCGUAAACUCCUGUCAUGGGGGAAAAGCGCCGUCGAGACAACAUCAAAGACGGUUUGAUGGUACCCCAAGAGGAAGCCACGGCUAACUCUGUGCCAGCAGCCGCGGUAAUACAGAGGUGGCGAGCGUUGUUCGGAUUUACUGGGCGUAAAGGGAGCGUAGGCGGCGGCGUAUGUCGGAUGUGAAAUCCCCGGGCUCACCCCGGGAAGUGCAUUCGAAACUGCGCCGCUAGAGGCGGGGAUGGGACACUGGAACAGAUGGUGUAGCGGUGAAAUGCGUUGAUGUCAUCUGGAACACCGGAGGCGAAGGCGAGUGUCUGGGACCGUUCUGACGCUGAGGCUCGAAAGCGUGGGGAGCAAACAGGAUUAGAUACCCUGGUAGUCCACGCCGUAAACGGUGCUUGUUUGCCGUGGGGGGAAUUGACCCCCCCCGUGGCGCAGCGAACGCGUUAAACAAGCCGCCUGGGGAGUACGGCCGCAAGGCUAAAACUCAAAGAAAUUGACGGGGGCCCGCACAAGCGGAGGAGCAUGUGGCUUAAUUCGAUGCAACGCGAAGAACCUUACCCAGACUCGACUUGUGACUGCACGGCCCGUGAAAGCGGGCUUCCUUCGAGGGUGUCACACAGGUGCUGCAUGGCUGUCGUCAGUUCGUGCCGUGAGGUGUUCGGUUAAGUCCGUCAACGAACGCAACCCCUGCCGUUAGUUGCCAACAGGUCAUGCUGGGAACUCUAACGGGACCGCCCCUUCAAACGGGAGGAAGGUGGGGAUGAUGUCAAGUCAGUAUGGCCCUUACGUCUGGGGCCGCACACGUGCUACAAUGGCCGGUACAGAAGGAUGCGAUGCCGCGAGGCGGAGCAAACCCCCAAAACCGGCCUCAGUUCGGAUUGGAGUCUGCAACCCGACUCCAUGAAGUUGGAUUCGCUAGUAACGGCGCAUCAGCAUUCGGCGCCGUGAAUACGUUCCCGGGC
rnacentral:rRNA from 1 species